UACGUAGGGGGGCAAGCGUUGUCCGGAAUCAUUGGGCGUAAAGCGCGCGUAGGCGGCCUCGUAAGUCCGCUGUGAAAGUCAAAGGCUCAACCUUUGAAUGCCGGUGGAAACUGCGAGGCUAGAGUCCGGAAGAGGCGAGUGGAACUCCUGGUGUAGCGGUGGAAUGCGCAGAUAUCAGGAAGAACACCAACGGCGAAGGCAGCUCGCUAGGACGGUACUGACGCUAAGGCGCGAAAGCGUGGGGAGCGAACAGG
rnacentral:rRNA from 1 species